UAAAUCAGGUAAUCGCGCCUUUUUAAGGUGAGGAAAGUCCGAGCUCCACAGGGCAGGGUGCCAGAUAACGUCUGGUGAAGGUAACUUUAAGGAAAGUGCAACAGAAAAGAACCGCCAUAUUUUAUGGUAAGGGUGAAAAUGUGAGGUAAGAGCUCACGGAUCCCUUAGGCAACUAAGGGGUGGUGUAAACCCCACCUGGAGCAACGCCGAAUGCGGAGAAUCAAGUUGGCCCGACAAUCUCCCGGGUGGCGGCUUGAGGCGCGCAGCGAUGCGCGUCCCAGAUAGAUGAUUACCCACGACAGAACUCGGCUUACGAUUU
rnacentral:RNase_P_RNA from 1 species